rnacentral:rRNA from 1 species
AUUAAACUAGGAAUUAGAUACCCUAUUAUUUUUAUUGUAAAAUUUGUAUAAGCUGGAGUAUUAAUAGUUAUGGUCUUGAAACUUAAAGAAUUUGGCGGUAUUAUAGUCUAUUUAGAGGAAUCUGUUAUAUAAUCGAUAGUCCACGUUGAACCUUACUUAUUUUAUUUUUUGUAUACCUCUGUUUAAGAAUAUACUUUUAGGUGAAUUUUCUAAAUAUAAGAGUAUUUAAAAUUUCAAGUCAAGGUGCAAUAAUAUAUAAGUUGAAUAAUGGAUUACAAUAAAUUUUAUUUAAAUGGAUUAUUAUUGAAAUAUGAUUAUGAAGGUGGAUUUAAUUGUAAUUUUAUGAAGAUUAUUAAAAUGAUUUGUAGCUCUAUAAUAUGUACACAUCGCCCGUCACUCUCGUUAUUAAGAUGAGAUAAGUCGUAACAAAGUAGAUGUAUCGGAAGAUGUAUCUAGAAAGUUAAAU